AUUGAACGCUGGCGGAAUGCUUUACACAUGCAAGUCGAACGGCAGCACGGACUUCGGUCUGGUGGCGAGUGGCGAACGGGUGAGUAAUGUAUCGGAACGCGCCCAGUCGUGGGGGAUAACGUAGUGAAAAUUACGCUAAUACCGCAUACGAUCUAUGGAUGAAAGCGGGGGAUCGCAAGACCUCGCGCGAUUGGAGCGGCCGAUAUCAGAUUAGGUAGUUGGUGGGGUAAAGGCACACGAAGCCAACGAACGGUAGAUGGUCUGAGAGGACGACCAGCGCCACUGGAACUGAGACACGGUCCAGACUCCUACGGGAGGCAGCAGUGGGGAAUUUUGGACAAUGGGCGAAAGCCUGAUCCAGCCAUUCGGCGUGCAGGAUGAAGGCCCUCGGGUUGUAAACUGCUUUUGUACAGAACGAAAAGGUUUCUACUAAUACUAGGAGCUCAUGACGGUACUGUAAGAAUAAGCACCGGCUAACUACGUGCCAGCCGCCGCCGUAA
rnacentral:rRNA from 1 species